UUUCAAGAUUCUCUCUUUGUCUUUUGCCCUUGGCAUUUUAAUUAUGAUGUGUCUUGGUGUGGUUCUCUUUGGAUUCCUCUUGUUUGGGGUUCUGUGUGCUUCCUGAAAUUUGCUCUCACAUGCUCCUGAAGAUGGCCAGCACGUGGGACGGUGGAAGACAGCGGAAAGGGCACAGGACCAGGAUUGGGGAGCCACAGCAACUGGUCUAUAUGCCCAUUAGCCAGGUCAGUCUGCCAACAGCAAGAAGACCCGCUCGUGAAAGGUUGAGCAUUUCGAAUGUGUCCUGGAAGAAUUCUCCCAACACCGCAUAUUUCCCGAACAGGGAGCAUGUAAGAAAGCAAAUUUUUAGCAAAAUGAUUCUAAUGCCAUUUUCAGUUAAAAGCACUGGGAGAUUUACAAUGAUCAAGUAAUAUGCCAAUUUCUUUCAAAUGCUGCCAACAUUUGACGCCAACACAAUUGCACGUUGGAAAAAUGUGUAAUGAAUAAGGCAGCUCAUAAUUUUCCUUCGAAUAUGUAUGUACAACUUAUUAAGUGGCAUAAAAAGCAAA